rnacentral:miRNA from 1 species
AGAUAUAAAUAUUUAAAUCUGAUAUACAAUAACGGAUUGUUCCGUUAUUGUAUAUCAGAUUUAAAUAAUUAUAUCU